GUAUACCAAUUACCAUAUCUUGAGUAAUCAAUUCAUUAAGUGAUUGAAAGUUCAAAUGUACAAACCUCAAAUGCCACAACCAACUAUGCUUGUGGUCGACAACAUUUUUUAGAGAUUGUACUUCAGUCGAACUGAUCAUGGUCUUGAAUGUCCUAGUCUUCGACAAAGCAGAUUUCAAGACCAAAUUAUUCUAAGUGUCGAACUGUUCCAAGGCUCCAUCUUUCAUAAUCACUGAGAAACCUCUUUCGACUAGUUG
rnacentral:lncRNA from 1 species